GCCCUGCUGCACCUGCUCCCUCUUAGGACUGAAUGCCCUACGAUCCCCACCGAAUGAGGAAGGACGCUAGAGGUUACAGGACUGGUCCCCGACCGCUCAGCCAGAAACAGGCUUUGAACCCUGCUGAACUCCGGUGGCACAGGCUGCACAAGGCUUGCGUCUCCCUGGAAGGGCCACUCCUCUCUGGUCAGCGAAAUCUCCUCCCCGCCCAGGAAUCUGGACGGCCCCUGCCAUUUGCCUGGUUGUUCCCCUACCCGAGUGCCCUCGAUUUUCCCCUCUGGUCGGGGCAGGAGCGGCAGGGCUGGAUGCCAGGGCCCCAGGGGCAGGGAGGUGAGUGGGCACCACUCCUUCCCCCACGGGUAAGGUGGACAUCCAGCUUCGGACCACAUCACAGACGCCCAGGCCCCCAGCCACAGCCGGGAUCACUCAGCUGGGUAACGUCUCCACUUCCCAGCUGGGCCAGAACUUUUCCAUGCUGCCAGGACUUGCAAGAAAACAGCUGUCUGGCUGGCUGUGCACUGUCCAUGAGCCCUGGUGGGGUUGUGAUUAUUGCUGGUAGGAGGCCGGGGACGAGGCCAGAAGCCUGGAGGCCGUGUGAGGAUCACGCCUCGUGAGUCAGGUAGGAGGCUGCUGGAGAGACAGAUGACAGGGUGCAAGUUGCACAAUAUAGAACUGAAGGCAUUGGCUGGGCGCGGUGAUUCACGCCUGUAAUCCCAACACUUUGGGAAGCUGAGGCAGGCGGAUCACUUGAGGUUAGGAGUUCAAAACCAGACUGGCCAACAUGGUGAAACUCCCGUCUCUACUAAAAAUACAGUGGACCCCUGGCAUGGCUCUGCUGCCUGGGCUGGGGUCUGCCCAAUGCUUCUGGUUCCCACCCACACUCCCCUCCCCACGAAGAUGCCCCUGAGAAGUUGGCCCACCUGGUUCUCUGCAGUCUCUGGGGUACCUGCCCCCUGACCUUCAGCCAGGUCCUGCCUCUCGUAUGUCCACUCAGGUGAGAAACCUGUCUAUAACCAUGUUUGUCUAGGACCAAACUUCGUCGUACACACAAAUGUGCACUGCACAAUUUUACUCCACCCUUUACCAGGAAUGCAAGGAUUUUGCCGAUGGAGGGGAGACUGCAUUGUGUUCAGAACAGAGGUCUUCACACUUUGGAAAACCACAUCCCCAGUGGCCAAGUGGUGUCAGGUAGGUGAGUGCUCCAGGCGCCGCCCUGGGGCUGGGUGCCGCUGUUUGCUGUCAUGCCCACUGUGGGCCACUGUGGCAAGUAGAUGACAGGCCUGUUCUCUUCCCCGGGGCAGCAUGGAAAACCCAUUAUUUUAUAUUUAUGUUUAUUCAUUUCUGAUCAGCUGCAUAUUUCAGUUGGGGCAUUAUUGAAAAAGGUGUUUUGUAGGUUUUCAUGCAUUUCAUUUCAGGAUAGCAAUCGGCAUAUAAAAUUAUGUGCUGUAAAGAAGGAGGUUGAUCUGUCGGGUUGAACACUACCAGCAGGGCAGAUGCACCCUUGGGGCUGGUUGAAUGCUUUAAAAAAAAUUUUUUUAGCUCAGCCACUGGUUUUUUUUUACAGCUUUAUUGAGGUAUAAUUAAUAUAUUGAAAUCUGGCCAGAUACAGUGACUCAUGCCUGUAAUCCCAGCACUUUGAGAGGCCAAGGUGGGUGGAUCAUUUGAGAUCAAGAGUUUGAAAACAGCCUGACCAACAUGGCAAAACCCCAUCUCUUCAAAAAAUACAAAAAUUAGCCGGGUGUGAUGGCACACACCUGUGAUCCCAGCUACUUGGGAAGUUGAGGUAUGAGAAUCGCUUGAACCUGGGAAGUGGAGGUUGCAGUGAGCCAAGAUCAUGCUACUGUACUCCAGCCUGGGCAACAGAGCAAGACCCUGUCUUAAAAAAAAAAACUGCACAUAUUUAAUGCAUAAUUUGGUAAGUU
ensembl:lncRNA